UACGGGGGGGGCAAGCGUUGUUCGGAAUUACUGGGCGUAAAGGGCUCGUAGGCGGCCAACUAAGUCAGACGUGAAAUCCCUCGGCUUAACCGGGGAACUGCAUCUGAUACUGGAUGGCUUGAGAUUGGGAGAGGGAUGCGGAAUUCCAGGUGUAGCGGUGAAAUGCGUAGAUAUCUGGAGGAACACCGGUGGCGAAGGCGGCAUCCUGGACCAACACUGACGCUGAGGAGCGAAAGCCAGGGGAGCAAAGCGGG
rnacentral:rRNA from 1 species